AAAUCGUACAUAGGCCAUUUCGCACUUUCAAUCCCAAGAAAUGGAACCCCCACAAGACGACGACCACUGCAGUCGCCACCAUGAACAGCCGUCGCAGUUCCCAUCUCCGUCGUCGACCUGCGCCAAGUGUGGCGGCCCCACCUGCUUCCCCACUCCGCCGCCCUCCGCCACCCCUUCCUACAUCCCCAUCCGCUUCCCCGCCGUGAACCUCCCUACAUCCCCCACCAAUACCAAAGAGGUCAUCAUGCGUACUCCGGUCCCCCAAGCUGAGAAGGUGGAAUCCAUCACUCUCCCUCACCAAUUCACCGUCCCUUCGAAGAAAAUCCGCUCCCAGGAGGACAUAACACGGUUCCACUCCUCCCCUUCCUUCCGCAACUUCCUCGGCUUCGUCGUCUCCCUCUCCGAGUCCAUCAAAUCUCGCAAGCUCUCCCACCCCUGCCACCUGUCCUCCACCGUCGAAACUCUAGUCACUAUUCUCCAGAAGCUGGUUGAUUAUGUCGACGAAAUCCCGCCGGCGCCGCAGACCGCGCGGUAUGGCAACGUUUCGUAUCGUGUGUGGCACGAGCGCAUGACUGCAGAGGCCGAGUCAUCUAUGCGGGGAUUUCUGCCGCCCCAUCUUCACGAUUCUACCAUAGAACUUGUCCCGUAUUUCACUGAUAGCUUUGGCAACGCCUCCCGCAUCGAUUAUGGCACAGGUCAUGAGACAAACUUUGCUGCGUGGUUGUAUUGCCUAGCAAGAUUGGGUGUUGUGGGGGAAGAGGAUUAUCAAGCUUUGGUCUCAAGAGUGUUUGUCAAGUACUUGGAGUUGAUGAGAAAAUUGCAACUUACAUAUUGCUUAGAGCCUGCUGGAUCCCAUGGUGUGUGGGGACUUGAUGACUACCAUUUCUUGCCAUAUAUAUUUGGGUCAUCACAACUGAUUGACCACAAGUAUAUGAAGCCAAAGUCAAUUCAUAAUGAGGAUAUUUUGGAGAAUUUCUCAAAUGAGUACUUGUAUCUCUCGUGUAUUGUGUUUGUGAAGAAGGUGAAGAAGGGGUUGUUUGCUGAGCAUUCACCUAUGUUGGAUGACAUCAGUGGUGUUCCAAAUUGGAAUAAGGUGAACAGUGGGCUGCUAAAGAUGUAUAAAGUAGAAGUUCUGGAGAAGGUUCCUAUUAUGCAACAUUUUCUCUUUGGCUCAAUUAUCAAAUGGGGCUAAAGUGGCAUGAGAGGUGCAUUUUCUAUGAAAUAAACUCUCCAGGGAUUGUAUUGUGUUUGAUGCAUACAAAAUUUGAACGAUUAUUCCUUUUUUCCUUAAGGGUGGAGUUCAGUUACAAUGGAAACUGGCAGCCAGUGAAUGCUCUUGCAGUAUUGUAUCCUUAAUAUGAUUUCUUAUCCCAGAUGGUGGCGGUUUGAUCACAAUGGCUCUGGUUUGGCUGAUCAUUCCACGAAUCAAAGGCUUAUACAAGAGAACAUCGUUGCUUCGAAAAUUGUAGCAAAACAUUCUGAAUGUUGUUACAAUGCCUAGGAGGCUUAAUGGACAAAAGGUUCUGGGGUAAUUAUAACAGGAAUUUUACUAAAUGCACCGUGUAUGCAUGAUUGUAAAUGUUUUAACUUUAGGUCAUGAGACCUGAAUUACAUUCACCAAGAAUUUGAAACGGAGAAUUCUUACAAAGACUCAACAUAAGCCUCUUAUUAACCGUGUUAAUUAUUUAACAUAAGCAAUAUGGAAAAUUGUUUGCUUUCUCAUUACAAUUCCCAAUGGACACAAGAAU